GCUGGCGGCGUGCCUAAUACAUGCAAGUCGAGCGAACAGAUGAGGAGCUUGCUCCUCUGCCGUUAGCGGCGGACGGGUGAGUAACACGUGGAUAACCUACCUAUAAGACUGGGAUAACUUCGGGAAACCGGAGCUAAUACCGGAUAAUAUAUUGAACCGCAUGGUUCAAUAGUGAAAGACGGUUUUGCUGUCACUUAUAGAUGGAUCCGCGCCGCAUUAGCUAGUUGGUAAGGUAACGGCUUACCAAGGCAACGAUGCGUAGCCGACCUGAGAGGGUGAUCGGCCACACUGGAACUGAGACACGGUCCAGACUCCUACGGGAGGCAGCAGUAGGGAAUCUUCCGCAAUGGGCGAAAGCCUGACGGAGCAACGCCGCGUGAGUGAUGAAGGUCUUCGGAUCGUAAAACUCUGUUAUUAGGGAAGAACAAAUGUGUAAGUAACUAUGCACGUCUUGACGGUACCUAAUCAGAAAGCCACGGCUAACUACGUG
rnacentral:rRNA from 1 species